rnacentral:lncRNA from 1 species
UCUCGAGUCUCAAAAAAACAAACAAGCAAAAACAAGACCAAGACUCCAAUUUUUUUCCUCCCAGCUCUCUCUCGGCUCUCCCUCUCACAGAAGACAAGAAACAAAAACAGAGGGAAGGAAGAAAAGAAGGACUCUCCACUUUUUCUCCCAGAUAGAUCUCUCGGCCUUUUCUUUUGAAGAAGAAGAAAAAAAAACAAAACACAAAAAAAAAAGGGGAGGCUCUCGGCUCUCUCUCUUGUCUCAACCGAAAAGAAAAAAAUGAAGCAUUCUUCACUCUCUCCCUCUGGAUUCCUUUUUCUUUUUUUUCUCCCAACACACUCACACACAACUUAAAACAACAAAAAGAAGCAGCGAUCGGUUAGGCUAUUUGGAGCUUGGCAAAUUUCAUCACAAACUUUGGCCAAGGGACCAAACUCCUCAUUUGAGGUAUUAUUUUUUUUUUUUUCAUCUUUUCAUCUUAUUAACUAAUUAGAUUAAAUUCAUGUUUUGCUAUCUAUUUGUCUCUUUCUUUUAUUGAUGUUGUUGUUAUGUGGUGUUGUUGAAGUUUUGGGGUAAGCCAUGUAUGAAAUUAAGGAAAAAAGAUGAUUUCUGUGAAUGCAUAUUAAUUGUUUAAAAAAAUGCCAAAAAGAAUUUUAGGGACUGUUUUGCCUUAAUGUAGUCUUUUGUUGUUGUUUUCUGGUUAACUAAGAUUAUAGUUGUAUUGUAGAAGUUAUAAGGAGGGUUUUGGCAUAAUUUUUAUGAUUUUUGGUGAAGAUUUGAGGGUUUUAAAAAAAUAAAAACUGGACUGAUUUCUUGGCAUUUUGACCACUUUCGGCUCAUUUUUUGUAAAAACUAACUCCGGAAUUGGAUUCUACGCGAAAAAUCGAGUGAGAGGGUGUAUUUUGGUGAAAUUUUGUGAUCGAAAAAUUCGCCGGCGACCGGUGGUGGCGGCGCCAGCAGCCGCCAUGUCAGCCAUUGUUGGCGGUGGCGAGGAGCUUCAGCCGGCCAGGCAAGAAGAAGAAGAACCGGAAGGGUGGAAGAAGAAGAAAAGAAAGAAGAAAAAAGAAAGGAAAGAAAAGAAAGAAAAAGGGUUGGGCUAAUUUUUAUUAAUUUUGGUGGGCUUGUUUCUUAUUUUUUAAUGGGCUAGAAGGUCAGAGCCCAUGUAUUUUUUGUUGGGUUUGAGUGAUAGAAGACGGGCUGGCCUGUGUGUUUUGGCUUGGACUUUCGGCUGGGCUUAGGUAGUUUCGGCCCAAAUAAAUAAAUAAUAGCCCAGUGGCCUGUUUUCUUGAGAAGAUCUGCUAGCAAAUUUGCGCUUCAGCCCCUGAUCUUUAGAAUAGUUUUACUGCAGCCCAGAACAUUUUAAAUUUCUUUCAUGUAGGUCCUUAUAGUAAUUGCACUUUGGUCCCUGAAUUUUAUCUUUUAUUUAAUUUUGACCUUUAAACUUUGGAAAAAUAUAAUUUUUGUUCCCAAAAAUUUUUUCGAUUUUUGCAAUUCAGUCCCUAAUGAAUUUUGACUCUCUUUAUUAUGAUUGUUUCUCUUCUUUAAUAGCUAAUUAUGCUACUUUUGAAUAUACUUAACUUGUAAUUUUUAGAUUUGCUUAAAUUUCUUUACGUCUGACAUACUAGUGUGAAUUUAGUACUUUUAUUAUUAUUAUUUUUUUCAAUUAAAUUGGUGCCAUGAUUUUUUUGUUCAUUUUGAGUAUAAGUAGGACAAUCUGAUCUCCAUUUAGUCGCCAUGUCAAAAGGGAGGUACCCCUAUUAUUAUUUAAAUGUCAAAUUACAUGCUUUUAUGUGCUCUUACGUGUUCCUAUGUGUUUAUAUAUUUUUAUAUGCUUUAUUUAUUUGAUUUAAAUGUUCAUUUAAAUUUUCUUAUAUUAUAUUUGUUUAGUUAAUUUUUAUAAUUAUUCGAGAGGCAUUUAAAUACCUCAAAAAAAUGUAAUAGAUAGAAUAAUUAGAUUUGUUUUAUUAUAUUUUUCCCUUCUAGAUUGUAGUUAGACGCUUCCCGAUGUAAUAGAUAGGUUGCGCGUUUAUGUGGCUUAUGUGUUAUGUGUUUUAUCCGCUUUUCUUAGGAUUUUGGCAUCUAGAUAUUAUGUUUACGUGUUAUGUGCUACGUGCUCUUAUGUGUUUAUUUGUUUUAAUUUAUGCUUUAUUUGUUUCACUAUGAAUUGUUAAUGCAUAACGUCACCACGCUAGUCCAACGCUAGUUGUGGCUUCUCUCUUCGCUUACUUGCUAGUCCAACGCUAGUAAGGAUUUUUAGAAAUGGGCUAGUCCAACGCUAGACCCUUUAGGCUGUCUUGCGCUAAAUUCAUCUUUGUGUGCUAUUCACUACAUUUUCAUGCAUAUUUUCAUUUUUAGGAUCUUUUCUCAUUUGUAUGAUAUUCCCUAUUAUAUUAUCCCCUACCCGCUAUAAGUGCUAAUCAUGUCAUUUAGAAUUGCAUCUCAUUUAAGCUAUUUCAUUUGCUUGUUCAUGUUAGGAUAAUUAUUUUCAAACAUGGGAAAUGGGUGAUUAUAAUUUUUUAGUUUAAAUAUCCCAUUAAUCCCUGUAUAAGAAAAUUAUGUCAUGAGUUUUUGUCUCCCGUACCCUUUAUGUUGCAUUUCUUUUUUCUUUGAUCACUUAUAUAUAUGUAGAUAAUUCAAUUUCUUUUCUUUUAUUUUAAUCAUUCGCAUACUCGUGGCACUUUCAAGAAAUCAUUUUGGCCUUCGCAAAUUAAUGCGAUUGGUUCGAUUAAACCCUUGAAUGGAUAUUUUGACCCUUUCGAUAUUUUAUAAAUUUAGAUUUGCAUCCAUGAAGAAAACAUCCAAAUAAGAUAAAAUUAAGGGUUAGAUUAGGAAAAUUUUGACUAAACCUCGCAACUAGCUUAGACUAGGUUGAAAGGGUGCCUUAGGUUUGAUUUAAUCGAACAUUUGCCUUCCCUUUCUUCAAUCGUGACUCCCGAAUCCAUUUUCUCUUGUUUUCAAAGACCUGGAGUUGUCGAAAAGGGUUUUAUUUUAUUCUUAUCAAAAGUAUUUUUGGGGUGACUUGGUACACCCAAACUCAAUACCAAGUGGCGACUCUUCUUUUAUCUUAAAAACCCUUUUAGACUAAAUUUUGGACCCAAAUUGUCGCAUUUUUCAAAGUUCCAUUCUAGGUCCCUUUUUUAUUUGUUUUAAAAUAAAAUCACAUCUUUUAUAAACACCUUUUAUUUUCUAUCGCGAAAAAUGGGGCGCGACAUACCUUAUCUAAACCCUUAACAUAUAUUAAAAAAUUUGAGCAAAGCUCCAAUGAAGAAUAUCUAGAGAAAUACUAAAAGCACAGCAAGUAUCAAAUGUUACCCUUCCCUACCUCUCGUGCAGUAUAUAUAGAUGUAAAGAUAUAUUUCAUUAAUUUUUUAUCCGGACAGAAACUAGUCAUUAAUGUUUAUGCUCAGACUUCAAGAACAUAUUCUUAACUAUCGUUGAAAAUAUAUGUUACAUAAGAAUAUACGUUUGAAAGUUUUGAAAACUAAAUAUUGCAGCCUUGGGUGCAGAAGAUAUAAACACCAGGCAACAAUUUAAUCUUUAACUAAAAUGAAAAAGUUUUACAUGGUUGUAGUGUUUUGAAGGAGGGAUUGGUGUCUUCAUAAUUUGAGCUGAAGCGUCUUCUCGCUUCCUGAAGUGAUAGAUAAUAGGGAAGAAGUAUGUAUGUACACUCCUCGUAAAUUUGAACUAUAACUAUGAAUAACAUAAUUAAAUUUGGACAAAAAUGCACUUAAAAAAUUGCUGAAUUUGUUACAUAUUCUUUUUCUUUUCUUCAUAUGCAUUUUAAGAUGCUAAUAUUUCCAAUCAUUGUGUUUGCAACCAUGCGUCAACCAUUUUAAGUUAGAAAAGCCGUCUGUUACAUCAACCAUGCAUUUUCCUUUUUUAAUGUUUUUCUUACUCUCUCGUUAGUUUUUAUAGUUUCCUUAUUAGAUGAUCAAGAAACGUGGGGGAAAUGUGAGCAUGAUUAUAGGAUUUGUAGUAUAUUCAAUAACUUGAUACUCAAAUCACCGAUGAGAUAAAGUUUGCCUAAAUAAACUUUACAGUGCCCUAAUUCCUUGCAAAAAAAAAAGGUGCUAAAUAGUCCUAAUUGGCAUCGCAAGUUACGGCAACGUGCCAGUGGCAUCUAGGCCUAAUUUUUUUUGGGGUCAAAAUCUAGUCCUAAUUGGUUCUGCUAUUUCUUGAUAAUGUUGUAUACUUCCGAAUUAAAAUUGUAUUAAAAUAGCAUGUGAAUGAGCAUUUGUCUUUAAUUAUGGAGUAAAAAGGAUUUAAAGUAUAAAUAACACACUAUAAACGGUUUAUGAAGUAGAUAGUGAGAAUGUUUUAAAUUUUAAAUUUGAUUAGUGAUAGGGUUGGUUAUAACCCACUACUUUUUAUGUAUUAAAAUAAAUACAAAAAUUUAGAAAAGAGAAUGAGAAGUUUGGAAACGGUCUUUGCUAAAAAUCUCUUACUUUUUAUGUAUUAAAAUAAAUACAAAAAUCUAUAACCCACUACUUGUUCCGUUCUUGGGAUUUUUUUUAGGGUUAAAUAUAGUAAACCCCUUAACUUUACAUUUAGCUGCACUUUACCCCCUCAACUUUACAUUUAGUUGCACAUUUGUGAUUUUUUUGAAACGUGAUUGUAAUUUCCAAAGCUCAUUUGUAGGGGUGGUUAUAGGGUUAGUUUGGUGAUAAAUAUUUCUUAAUUAUAAAAAUGUAACAUUCUAUUAAAAUAGCAUGCGAAUGAGCAUUUGUCUGUAAUUAAUGAGUAAAAAAGAUUUAAAGUAUAAAUAACAAACUAUAAAUGGCUUAUGAAGUAGAUAGUGGGAAUAUUUUAAAUUUUAAAUUUGAAAUUUGAUUAGUGAUAGGGUUGGUUAUAACCCAUUACUUUUUAUUUAUUAAAAUAAAUACAAAAAUCUGGAAAAAAGAAUGAGAAGGUUGGAAGCCAUUGAGAGGGUUUCUGCUAAAAACCCCUUCUGCAAUACAUAUAGAUAUAGAUUAUUAGAAAUCUUUUAGAAAACAUGGACUAAUAAAUUUCUAGUAUAAUAGAUUGAGUAACUCUUAUAUACACUAAUAGUGUAUAUACUUUUACUAUUAGAUUCAUGAUACAUAUGCAAAAGUUGGAGUUUAAAUUUAAAUUUUAUAUAAUUAUUAUUCAUUCAAUGCUGACAGUAUAUAUAAAAGAUUAAUCAUAAUAGAUUUCCUCGUGUUUGUCCCAUUACAAUCUACGUACUACUUUCAACUUUUUAUUCUGCUGAUGCUUUGGUCCAAACCGUUUCCUCCUCCUUAUUUAUUCAUGCGCGUCUAACCACCACUACCACUAUUUUCCACAGGUGGUCAUAAUUCAUGUUUCUCACACGUGUCUCGCCCACAUUGUGCUCUUACGUCAGGCACGGUCAAAUUGUGCCUACCAUGGACAGAUCCAAAGGGACAGCGGGCAGGAACGGUUUCUGACGGUUUUGGUCAUUUUACACCACGUGUAACUUUAGUUGCACGUGACGUAACUUUAUUUGCACAACGUGUAACUCUAAUACAAAAAUUUGCAGGUCCCACACGCAUUGUGAAAAUUGAUGUACA